rnacentral:rRNA from 1 species
CGGGGUGCAGCAGGCGCGAAAACUUUACAAUGCCGGCAACGGCGAUAAGGGAACCUCGAGUGCCAGGUUACAAAUCUGGCUGUCGUGAUGCCUAAAAAGCAUUGCAUAGCAAGGGCCGGGCAAGACCGGUGCCAGCCGCCGCGGUAACACCGGCGGCUCGAGUGGUAACCGUUAUUAUUGGGUCUAAAGGGUCUGUAGCCGGCCGGGUAAGUCUCUUGGGAAAUCUGGCAGCUUAACUGUCAGGCUUUCAGGAGAUACUGCCUGGCUCGAGGCCGGGAGAGGUGAGAGGUACUUCAGGGGUAGGGGUGAAAUCUUGUAAUCCUUGAAGGACCACCAGUGGCGAAGGCGUCUCACCAGAACGGACCUGACGGCAAGGGACGAAAGCUAGGGGCACGAACCGGAUUAGAUACCCGGGUAGUCCUAGCCGUAAACGAUACUCGCUAGGUGUCGGCCACGGUGCGACCGUGGUCGGUGCCGUAGGGAAGCCGUGAAGCGAGCCACCUGGGAAGUACGGCCGCAAGGCUGAAACUUAAAGGAAUUGGCGGGGGAGCACAAGGGCGAUUCGCGG